rnacentral:misc_RNA from 1 species
CAGGCUUAUAAAUCAAAUAGAAAAUAAUGAGAGGAAGUUAGAGGCGGAUUUUUCCAUUGACCCCGCGUUUGAAUUGGCACAACUUGUUUAUGGAAAUAAAGAUAACCCUGGACCGUUGCUGACUCCGGAUCUAAGCUUUUGUGUUGUUUCCGGAGAAAAUUGUGCGACUUAUCCCAGACAGUUUGAUAUAUGCGGCAGUCCCAUCGCCGAGGACUCCAUAUACUUCGCCGUUAAGACUUGGACCGGUUUCCACGAAACCAGAGCGAAGGUGGUCAAAAAGACAUGGGGAAAACACGUCACGCAUUUGCAAUUCUUCAGCGAUAAGUCUGAUCCGAAACUUCCAGCGGUUGACACUGGUGUACCAAACACGAAAACGGGUCAUUGCUUGAAAACGGUUACUAUUUUAAAGGAAGCGUUGAAGAGGGUGGAAAAUCUACCAAAUAUCAAAUGGAUAUUCCUUGCAGACGAUGAUACUAUUUUAGGUGUCCAACGGCUUUGCGAAGUACUAAGCUGCUACCGAGGCGGUGACGAUGUUACGGUACUGGGUGAAAGAUAUGGCUACGGAUACGGCAAGAAAGAAAGGCUCGGCAAAGGCUACGACUUCAUAACUGGUGGCGGUGGGACGGCACUAAGUGUGGGCGCCGUGCGCGUGCUAGCGGACUGCGCGUGCGCGUCGCCGUCCGCGCCCGACGACAUGGCGCUCGGGGCCUGCGCGGUGCGGCGCGGGCUGGCGCUCGCGCACUCGCCGCUGUUCCACCAGG